rnacentral:rRNA from 1 species
CCUACGGGAGGCAGCAGUGAGGAAUAUUGGUCAAUGGACGAGAGUCUGAACCAGCCAAGUAGCGUGAAGGAUGACUGCCCUAUGGGUUGUAAACUUCUUUUAUAUGGGAAUAAAAUGUUCCACGUGUGGGAUUUUGUAUGUACCAUAUGAAUAAGGAUCGGCUAACUCCGUGCCAGCAGCCGCGGUAAUACGGAGGAUCCGAGCGUUAUCCGGAUUUAUUGGGUUUAAAGGGAGCGUAGGUGGAUUGUUAAGCCAGUUGUGAAAGUUUGCGGCUCAACCGUAAAAUUGCAGUUGAAACUGGCAGUCUUGAGUACAGUAGAGGUGGGCGGAAUGCGUGGUGUAGCGGUGAAAUGCUUAGAUAUCACGAAGAACUCCGAUUGCGAAGGCAGUUCACUGGACUGCAACUGACACUGAGGCUCGAAAGUGUGGGUAUCAAACAGGAUUAGAUACCCUUGUAGUC